CGAUGGAACUAGAAGAGAGGAAAUGUGUUCGCCAUGCCAUAGAUCCAAGUCAAGAUAGUUCCUGAAAGCCCUUGCUCCUCGCUCAGUUUCCAUUCUUGUGUUAUACUCUCAAACCACAAGGUGGGGUGAACAAGCAAGUGAGAUUUUACGGAAGCACACCCGGCAGUCAGCCUUCUGUUUUUGAAGGCAUAUAUUAUUAGUGCACAGGUGUAAGUGUUUGUGGUCAGGUUGCUAAGGGCAACAGCCCAUGGUUUCAACUGUUUCUCCAGGUCUUUUUGUUCCAGGUAGCAGGUGAAUUCAUGCUUGGAAAUGCAUACUACAGCAGCACUUGAAUACUAUGCUGGAAUUGCUGGGGCACCCUGCCUUGUGGGUUGAGAAGUUACCAGCUUCUUGUCUUCUCUAGUGUGACAUCUCCAUCGUUGGACUACCCAAACCACACAGUGAGGUCCUGCUUCUUAUUCCUUUGAACACAGCAAAAGAAAAAUAAAAGAGUGUGUCUACAUUUAUUUAAGCGUUAUUGUCAAGAGUACUCCUGGCAAAGAAAUGCUGGCUAAGAGUUGAAGAAACGUGAACCGUGUAGAACAGAAGAUUCCUCAAGACUGUAAAAUCAGAUGACUGACAGGCCUGGGUGCUUUGGGAGCCCUUUUCGCACCCAAGGUCCAUGAAUGAUGUAAUCGCAUCCUCUGAACGUACGUGAAAUGGAUUCUUGUCUGACCUUACCAUCUGGCUCUCAGAGUCUGCGGCCUCUGGAUGUGAGCAGUGGAAUGGAGAGGCCAAGGCACAUUGCUCCGAGAAAGAACCAAGACCCUCCCUGUUAUGUCCAGGCUGAGCGUGGUAUCCAUCCAAAGAGAAUGGGUUCCAAAAAAGCCAGUACAAGCAACAGGGACAAAUCCUGGUCCCACUGCCAGUGACCCCGCAGUCUGCCCCAGCCACACAACUGUCACCCACACUCAGAGAGUCUAGCUUGGCCCUAUGCUGGUUUCUUCCCAGUCCAGCUGGAGUUGGUGAGCUCCCAUUAGCUCAGGUGAGCUGUUUCAGGGGUGUCCCCAUCAUGGUCCUGACCUCUUUGCUCAUAUUCUCACUCCUCCCACUCUUCAACUGGACGUUGGGAGCUCAGUCCAGUGCUCCGCUGUGGUCUCUGCCUCUGCUUCCAUCAGUUGCUGGAUGAAGAUUCUAUGGUGACAUUUAAGAUAAUCAUCAGUCUGACUAAAGGGCAAGGUCAGUUCGGGCACCUUCUCCACUAUUGCUUAGGCCCCUAGCUGGGGUCAUCCUUGUGGAUUCCUGAGAAUUUCUCUAGUGCCAGGUUUCUUGCUAGCCCCAUUCUUUUUUUUUUAAAUUAGCUCUUCUCUUCUUCUUUUUUUUAAAAUUAGCUCUUCUUAAAAUUUUAUUUCCUUUUGGGUAUACUGAAUGCUGGGUUUACUUUGCUUUUCUUGUUUUCCUUUCUAGUCUCUGUGUUUACUGUCCGUGUUCCUACUAGAAGUGAGAUCAAUGGGAACAGUAACCUUGACAGUCCUGAUCCCCACUGUCUAGAACAGUGCCUGGUAAAUGUGUAGUCAACAAACAUUCACUGCGCACAUGCGUGAGCGGAUGACCGUACCCAGUGAGCUCACUCUGGGGUCCCCGAGACGGGAUGCUGAUGCAGUGGCUCCAGAGCUGUGCUGAACCCAUGCCUAUCUCCUUUUCAUUCAAUAUACCUUUAAUCAGAGGCACUUGAUUUACUAAUUGAUUACAUUAGAAGCCGACGUAAUGCCUAAAUUCUGCUAAGCAUUCCUGGAAUAGCCGGCCCUAAAUAUUAUUCUGAUAAAAAGCAUGACUUCAUAUCUUAAUCACAUUAGGUUAUAGGGCAUUAGUCGAUAAUGACUGUCAAAUUUCUGGACUCUCCACGUGGGGAAGAAGAUUAAAAAAGAAAGUUAUGAUAGAAAUGAAACUCUGCAGAGGGAAAUUCCUAAUAUUUGAGGAGCGACAUUGAAGUGUGUCCUUUAAAUUCUGCUGAGGAAAGAACAGUUCUUUUGAUAAUAAAUCUAUCUCGUACAUCUUCCUUGUGUCUCAUCUUGUGUGGCCAUGAAAGAAGCUUCCAAAUAAUGGGUUUAAACAAAAUAGCAAUUCGUUUCUCUUUUUUUUUUCUCUUUUCUACAAAAUGCCAGGCUGGCCACUCCUAGGUGUCAACUACCAUGCACUUUCUCUCUUGACCCGUCUCUCACUCUGCUUUGAAAAAUAUGAUGGUGGACGUUCUUAAAUUUAUCCCAUAAUCCAACAUGGCAACUCUUGCUCAGACAGGAUUUCUUCACUGAAACUCUCAAGGAACAAAACAAUUGGAAGGAGAAGGGUAUGCCUCUUACGGAACACUUUCUUGUAGUUACACAGAUUUCCCGCUUGGAUUUCUUGGGUCACACAUUUGAUUUGCAGCAACACUUAGUUAGCUUCAAGGAAUUCUGAGAAAUGCCCCUUUGGUUUUACAAAGAAUUUCAGCGAUAGCCCAAGCUCCAAGGUUCCAUUUCUGUAAGUGAGGACACAGCCUCUUUCCCUCCUAUCAACUGGCCCUGAAGUUUCUGAGCUAUACAGAAGAGUGAGCUUGUUGUGUUUCUAUAAAGUGGGCUUGUGGGGAAUCAGUAGGCACAAAUGGAUUCAAUUUAUUACCAAAGAUGUAAGAGAGUCUAUGGCUUUCACUGGUUCUCCUCAUCAGUUUGGCAUGCCUUCAGUUAGGAGCUAAGCCUAGAGUGCGCUGGUUUGUACACACUCUGAUGGUGGCAAAGAACUGAGCAACCCAAUGCUCUUACCUAAAACAGACAUGGUUUUUUGUUUGUUUGUUUGUUUGUUUGUGAGACAGGACUUCUCUGUGUAACAGUCCUAGCUGUCCUGGAACUAGCUUUUGUAAAUGAGACUGGCCUAAAUCACAGAGAUCCACCUGCCUCUGCCUCCCAGGUGCUGGGAUUAAAACCA